rnacentral:rRNA from 1 species
GAUGAACGCUGGCGGCGUGCCUAAUACAUGCAAGUCGAGCGAACGGACGAGAAGCUUGCUUCUCUGAUGUUAGCGGCGGGCGGGUGAGUAACACGUGGAUAACCUACCUAUAAGACUGGGAUAACUUCGGGAAACCGGAGCUAAUACCGGAUAAUAUUUUGAACCGCAUGGUUCAAAAGUGAAAGACGGUCUUGCUGUCACUUAUAGAUGGAUCCGCGCUGCAUUAGCUAGUUGGUAAGGUAACGGCUUACCAAGGCAACGAUGCAUAGCCGACCUGAGAGGGGGAUCGGCCACACGGGAACGGAGACACGGUCAAGACUCCUACGGGAGGCAGCAGUAGGGAAUCGUACGCAAUGGGCGAAAGCCUGACGGAGCAACGCCGCGUGAGUGAUGAAGGUCUUCGGAUCGUAAAACUCUGUUAUGAGGGAAGAACAGAUGUGUAAGGAACUGUGCACAUCGUGACGGUACCUAAUCAGAAAGCCACGGCUAACUACGUG